GCCCUGGGGAGUUUUCCUGCUGCCCUGAGCUCCCAGAAAAGGGAGCAAGCAAUGGACGUGUGCCCUUUUCCUAAUGAACUCGGCAAAGUUUGUUCCCAGGGAUUCAAGCCUCUGGUGAAUAACUCGUUGCUGGGCAGAACAAGAACAAAGCAAAAUAACCCGUGAGGUUUUGAUGCAAGAAGUGUUGCAGCUCCUUGCAGGAAGGAUGAGCGGAUGUGUUAAACUCAACUCGAGUGAGACAGAGAGGCUGGAGGGAGGAAACCAGGGAGAAGUAAAUGGACAAAACUUCUUUCUCAGAGAGGGUGGACAGGCUUUCAUCUCCGCAGAUGGAGCUGGGAAAUGCUGUCCUGCCCUGCCUGUGUGACCACCACCACAGCCCCCUGAGCUGAGGGGCACCUGCUUCUGCUCCAACACAGAACCUUGAAGGGGAAGACUGGAAAAACUCUUUCCCCAGCCUGAAGGUGUGCGGCUCUGCUAAGGGGCACUGAAUCCAAUCAACAUCAUCCCUAAAAAGUUGCAACUAGGGUCCAUUGAAGUUGUCUGCGUCUUUUUUCAAGGAGAAGCAUCAAGAUCAAAGUCCGAGAAAACCAUUUGAUCUUCCAGCUGUAAACAACUACUAAAAGAGAACAUAUGCUAUAUUUAAUUACCCUCCAUUGAGGUGCUUGCAUCCAAACUCACAGAGCUUGUAGAGUUUCUUUUCCCCCUGUUUGAAGCCAGGGGUAGUUACAGGAGAUGGGUAUUGUGAGAAAAGGUGAGUGAAGAAGGUAGAAGAAUUGAACAAGUUUCAGUCCUUGAACCCUUUCUGUUUCCUGUUGAAGCUGGGAUGUUGAUCUUGCCUUGGGUGUGUAUCCAUGGCUGCUCACUCUCCCCCUCCUGUGCUCACCAGCUGUUCCCAGAAACAUCCUCCAGAAAGCUCUUGUCUGAGUCCUCAUUCUCGGAAAUCUUCUUUUAUAUGUAUCCUCCCAACAGUAAAACUCAAUCUGAACAGUAGAUGGCUAAAUCUGAACAGCAGGUCCCCAUUUUAUAACUAAUUAUCAGAAAGACCUUACUUUGCUUCCCAAAUACUCGAACAAGAAGAAGUGCUGGCCUAAUCACAGCAGAACUGCAGGGUUUGUGGUGCCCAUGGGGUCGGGCUGGUCUAGUAGAGCAUUUGUGUGUUGAACUAUCAGAGCACCAGUCCCUGUCUCUAACUGAAUUGUCUCUAUUCUGAAGUUCAUGUCUGCUUUUGCAUUUUAGAGCACCACUCAGAUGUCAAAAUUCAGAAGAGGCAGUGGAUUUCCUAGUCAUUUAUGUGAAUUAUUGAGUCAUUACUGUAAUGAGAAGUAAUUAUCUGUUACCUUGGAAGGUCAAUUGAUUGGAUAACUCUUCGAACUGGACUAUUUCCAAUGGCUAGGAACAUUAAAAAAAAGUAGGUAAGCAGGUAAAAAUCUGACACAACAAAUGUUAUCUUUUUCAUGAGGAGACCUGCUGGAUUAUUCACAGGGUGUGUAUCAACGGAAUUUACAAGAUUUAAGGUUUGGCAAAUUCUGCCCCAGUGUUUGAUACUCCUGAGAAGUAAUAAUAGGUAGUUGGGCUAAAUUACAUCCCUGGAAACUGAUUUUUCUUCUUCAUUCCCCGCUUUCCCAAGCUUCUUAGCUAUGAUUUUGUUCCAAAACAAUGAUGCAUAGCCGUGAAAUGGCUUUGCCCUUUAUCACUCCAGCAUAAGAGAAGAUAAACUGAACAGACCUGUUUAUU